rnacentral:rRNA from 1 species
UGACGCUCUCCCCAAGGACACAAGCCAUGCAUGCUGACGCUCUCGGGAGAGGGCGAUAAGAUCGUUACGAGGGUUGCUAAGUACAUGGAAGUCCUGGGCAACUGGACUAAGUAGGCAUUCUUAGGCCAAGGUAGC